GGAGGGUAUAGCUCAAUGGUAGAGCACAUGCUUAGCAUGCAUGAGGUCCUGGGUUCAAUCCCCAGUACCUCCA
rnacentral:tRNA from 1 species